GAUGAAGAACGCAGCGAAUUGCGAUAAGUAAUGUGAAUUGCAGAAUUCAGUGAAUCAUCGAAUCUUUGAACGCACCUUGCACCCUUUGGUAUUCCGAAGGGUAUGCUCGUUUGAGUGUCAUUGUACUCUCACACUUCUAAUUCCUUUCGGGAUUGGGAGCGGUGGACUUGGGUGUUGCUGCUUUAGUUGUGGCUCACCUCAAAUAAGUUAGUGCAACUCUUGGUUGGACAUAGUACGGCGUGAUAAGUGUCUUCGCCGGCGCCUCUGUAAGGAGGGUGGCCGAUCGGGAGCUCUGUGCUUCAAACCGUCUUCGGACAAUCUUUGACAACUUGACCUCAAAUCGAGUAGGACUACCCGCUGAACUUAAGCAUAUCAAUAAGCGGAGGA
rnacentral:misc_RNA from 1 species